UAUCUUAUAAACUUCAUUAAACACUCUUUCCUGUUUUAUUACAACACUAUGCCAGCACAAUAGAAAACAUUUAGUCUUUCCUUUCUGAUGGGAAUGAAUGAGACUGGUGACCUAGUGAUAAGGUUUGUCAGUGUGGCUAUACAGCAAUUCUAUUCCUGAGAAACUUUCAAGAAGGAAUUUAAUAUCACUAUGGUUCAAAUCCAGAUAAAUGAUUUCGAUCAAGCUUCAGAGAAGGUUUUGGGUUCCGAUUUAGGGAAGAUCAACUGAUACCGUUUUCCUUCUGUUCUUUUUUAUACUCUCAGUAAAAGACAGAUAAUAUGAUCGUUGCAGGAAUCAGCUCAUAAGCACAUAUCUUUCAGUGAAAUGAUGCCAAGUUCAAAGUUCUGAAUUUUGUGAAGACCGUAAUGACAGAGCAAGAGCUUGUGUUGGAGGGCGGUGCCCAUUUAUAAUCUUGACCGUCCACUUUUAUUGAAUAAUAGGGUCCCAGAAUUUUGUUAAAUUGAUUGUUUCUUCAGUUUGAAUUAACCAUAUUAAACAGGAUAAGAGAGGGAGAGAAGACUUGAGAGUGAUUCUGAAGCAACAACAGAAUUUUGGGUAAGUUUUACAAGUUAUAUCUGGGUUCAAAAGUUCAGCUUCUUCAGCACAUAAAUACUGUACUUCUUGGUCUCUAUUUCAUUAUGUGAAUUAAUUAAUUAAUUAUUAAUUCC